rnacentral:lncRNA from 1 species
UUUUUGUAUAAUACAUCAUUUAAUAUAUUUGAUCUUUGUACUCAGUUCUUGGCACAGAUCAUUGGCACUUCCUGAGUGAUAGUAGUGCCUUUUGUUAUUCAUAAUGAAUCCCUUUUAACAUCAUCUGCGUUUAUGCUAAUGAAAUGACUAAGCAUGGGGUCCCAAAUAGCUUUAGGUAGGGGGUUAGUCACUAGAAAGACAAAAACUCAUGAUUAGAGGGUUAGAAUUUUCAGUCCCAUCUCCUAACAACUGGGGAGGGAAUGGAGGCUGAGUUUGAGUUCUAUAAAAACUCUUGGACAAUAGGAUUCAGAGAGCUUUGGAGUUGCUGAACACAUUGAAAUGCUAGGAGAAUGGUGCAUUCAUAAUGGGAAUGGAAGCUCCAUAUCCCCUCUCCCAUAACUUGCCCCAUGUAUUUCUUCCAGUUAGCUAUUUCCAUUUUGUAGCCUUCAUAAUAAACCAGUACACCUAACUAAACUAUUAUCUUGAGUUCUGUGGGUUGUUCUACUCAAUUAUCAAACCUGAGGAGGUAUUUGGAGUUGUGGAAACUCCUGAAUUUAUAGCUAGUUGGUCAGAAGUAUAGGUGGUUCUUAGGACUUGUAACUGGUAUCUGAAGUUGGGGAAGUCUUGUGGGACUAAGCCCUUAACCUGUUGUUUAUGUGCUAACUCUGGGAGUUAGCUUCAGAAUUAACCUGAAUUAUUGGACACCCAGUUGGUGUCAGAGAAUUGGUUAUUGGUGUCAGAAUAAAACAUGUACACAUUUGGUUUCAGAAGUGGUGUCGGAGAAAACACCACCAAGAUCUUGUCCUUUUUUCUUGGAAGACAUAAAAAAAAGAUUCCCUUUACCAUCAGUUAGUACCCCUAUUGAUCCAGGGGGCUUACCUGGUGAGAUGACCAUACUCUCUUCAAUGGACUGAAUGUGUUCCUCCAAAAUUCGUAAGUUGAAUUCCUAACCCCAGUCACUUGUGUGACUGUAUUUGAACAUAGGGCCUUCAGGAGGUAAUUAAAAUGAAAUGAGGUCAUAAGCAUAGGGCCUGAUAUGGUUUGGCUAUGUGUCCCCACCCAAAUCUCAUGUCUAAUUGUAAUACCCACAUGUCAGGGGAGGGGUCUGGUGGGAGGUGAUUGAAUCAUGGGGCAGACUUCCUCCUUGCUAUUCUUGUGAUAGAGUUCUCACGAGAUCUGUUUGAUUGAAAGUGUGUAGCACUUCCCCCUUCACACUCUGUCUGCUGCUUGGACAUGUGAAGAUGUGUUCACUUCCUUUUUGCCUUCUGCCAUGAUUGUAAGUUUCAGAGGCCUCCUGGUCAUACUUCCUGCUAAGCCUGUGAAACUGUGAGUCAAACCUCUUUUCUUCAUAAAUUACCCAGUCUUGGGUAGUUCCUUAUAGCAAUGUGAGAACAGACUAAUACAGGGCCCUAAUCUGAUAAGAUUGCUGGCCCUAUAAGAAGAGGAAGAGAGGAGAUUUCUUUCACUUUUCAUGCACUUACACCAACGGAAAGAUAUGUGAGAACAAAGAGGCUGUCUGCAAGCCAGAAAGGAAGGCCUUAUCAGAAACUAAACUUUUCCAGACCUUGAUCUGGGAGUUCUAGCCUCGAGAAUUAUGAGGAAAUAAAUUUUUGUUGUUUAAGCCAUCUAGACUGUGAUAUUUUGUUAAUACAGCUCAAGAAGACCAAAACACUCUCAUCCCCAAGGGUUCUGAGUCCCAUGUCACUGUCUUAGUCCAUUUGUGCUAGUAUAACAAAAUACAAGAGACUGGGUAAUUUAUAAUAAACAGAAAUUAAUUUUUUUACAGUUUUGGAGGCCAGGAAGUCCAAAGAUCAAGGUGGUGGCAUACAGUGUCUGCUGAGGGCCUUCUUGCUGAUCCUCCCAUGGUGGGAGGUGGAAGGGCAAAAAAGGGGACGAAUGCUGUGUCCUCACAUAUUAGAAUAGCAGAAGAACCAAAAUGGGCCUAAGCUAGUUCCCUCCAACCCUUUUAUUAUCCAUUUGUGAGGGCAAAGCUCUCAGCUCUCAUGACUUAAUCACUUCUCCAAAGGCCCCAUCUCAAUACCAUGACAAUGGGGAUUAAAUUUCAAUGUGAAUUUUGGAGGAGACACAUUUAAGCCAUAGCAGUCACUAUGCCUUUCUCAGGUCAUGGCUUCUGCCCUUGUCCAUUUACUACAAUACUGGGCAGGAGAGUACAAAUAGACAAUGGAUAAAUAGAAUCCCAAAUGUAUUCUUCCCUGUUCCCAUUAUGUAAUAGCUAUCCUAUCUCCUCCAGGUUAUCAAAGUCAAAUACCCCUGCCAAUAUGGUGACUAAUUUUUUUGCUUGUUGGUCUCUUGGUUCUCAGAGCCUAAAGUUACCAGAGGGCAGCUGUAACUUAAAGUUAAUAAGGAUUUUUACUAUAUCCCUGGUUUAAGCACAUUCUCCCUUGGAACCAGGAUUUCUAGACCCCUGAAAAUUUCUAUGUCCUAAUCCCUAGUCACUGUGACUAUGUUACAUUACAUGGCAAAUGGAACUUUACAGAUGUAAUUAAGGUUACUAAUCAGCCGACCUUAAGAGAGAGAAAUUAUUCUGGUAGCCAGGUAGGCCCAAACUAAUCACAUGGAUUCUUAAAAGCAGGAAAGUGUUCUUGGGAGGCUGAGGCAGGAGAAUGGCAUGAACCCGGGAGGUGGAGCUUGCAGUGAGCCGAGAUCAUGCCACUGCACUCCAGCCUGGGCAACAGAGCAAGACUCCAUCUCAAAAAAAAAAAAAAAAAAAAAAAAAAGAAGAGAUGCAUUAGAAGAAAAAGUCAGAGAUUUAAAGCAUGAGAAGGACCUGAUACGCUGUUGCUGGUUUUAAGAUGGAGGAGGCAACAUGAUGAGGAAUGCAGGUGACCUUAAUGAGUGGAAACAGGUUUCCAGCUGAGAGCCAGCAAUGAAAUGAGGACCCCAGGCCUACAUCCAUAAAGAACUAAAUUCAUCCAACAACCUCAAAAUCUUGGUAGUAGAUUCUACUCCAGAACCUUGAGAUAAGAUGCCACAUCAGUCGAUACCUUGAUAUCAGCUUUAUGAGACCCUUGACAGAAAGAGCCAACCAUAACAUCUUAGCUACAGAACUAUGGGUUAACAUUUGUGUCAUUUUUAGCUGCUAAGUUUGUGGAAAUUUGUUACAGCAGCAAUAGGAAAUGAAUGCAUCCACAGAGCCUGAAGUUGCAGAGAUAAGAAGCACACAUUGCCAAGUGGGUCAAUGAGGGUGAUUAUAAGCAGGGCCAUUCCUACUUUUACCUCUGGGCUCUCAGAGACAUGUAUGAUACAUACUGGGGAGAUGGCAUUAUAUAAAGGUCAUUUAAUUAGGUUACAUACCAUAUCCUUGUGGGUUGUACCCCAUCCUUUUAAGAUAUGGUCUCAAGCUGGCUUCUCAAUUGAUUCUUUAUUAUUACAUCAAUUUAUAGGUGAGCAGCAUCUAAAUUAUGCAGUAUGUCAUAGGAUCAGAGAAUCUCAUGGAUAUAAGCCCACUACUAAAAUCCCUUUUUUGUAAAGCUGGUCCCUUGAUCUCCAACAAAAUUGUGUGGUAUCCUAUUGAGGCAGCAAGCGCUCUGUAAGUUCCCAGGUAGUCAUGCUGGCCAAGGGAAGAAAGGAAAGCUCAUAGCUAGGAUAUAUGCCAAUUCCAAUAAUAAAGAGAAUUGCCUCCACAAUCCAGGAUGGAAGGCAUCUGAUGUAAUUUCCUUGCCACCAAGUGGCUGAUUGGUCUCCUUGAGGGAAAGUGCCAUGAUAGUGACUCAGAUAUAGUCUCUGUUUAUAGCUGGGGUUCUACGUUUGGCGGCAGUGGUAGCUAGAUCAGUCUUGGUUAGUGAGACUCAAUGAUGUUUAGCCCAUGCUUAGCCUCCAUACUUGUGAUGAGGGUUUUUUCAUGCAUAUGCCCAUUGUACCAGACUGGAGUAGCCUAAUUGGCCUAAUUAUGUUUUCUCUUGUUAUUUAGUGCCUCUUUCAUGCUCUCUGGUAAGUGUUAAAAUGCAAAACAGUAUCUUCACAUUGCACGCCAAUUCCCAUAAGUCAAUCCACUAUGUUUCUUACACUGACCUCUUUAUCCUUGAUUUUUCAAUCUUUUUUCUUCUAGGUUCCUGACCAAACAGCCAAGCCAUUUUCUGCUGCCUGUAAGUUCACAUACAUUCUAACUUCUGGCCAAUUUUUUUCUCACAAAUUGGAUAAUCUGUUGCAUCACAAGGAAUUCUGGCCACUGGAAGGAUUUUUCUUCAUGACUAUCCUUUAAAGCCACCCCUGAGUAGGGCUCUCGAGCAGCCAGAGUUCAUUUUCAGCUUCCACCCAUAUAUUAAGCUGAUCCAGUCAUGAACUAAGCUUAGCGUUUUUCUUUUUCCAUUAGCCGAUCAUAAGGGACUGUCUCCAUCUGACUAUAGGGGUGAACUUAGAAGAGAAACUAGUGUAACAUAGCAGAUGAUUUGGGGGUAAAGACCACUUGCUCUUGCAAUUUACAAUUGACUUUUGACCCUGCUAGUGCUUGAUCCUGGAUGUACUGCCUCCAACUAAUGAUGGACUGAUCUUGAUUCUGCCUGACAUUAAGACUUGUUUGAUGUGAGAGAACCCAGAUCCUGAUGAGCAGUUUUGGAUGCAUUUACAACUUUCAAAACAUGCCCUCAGGUGAGGAAUGGGCCUGUGGUAGAGAUAGAACACCUGACCACAAUCUCCAUGAGUUUGUUCUCCACAUAGCUGCUAAAAGAUGAUUUAACGGUGCUAUGGUCUGAAUAUGUUUAUCACCUCCAUAUUUGUAUAUUGAAAUCCUAACCUCAAGAUCGAGACCAUCCUGGCUAACAUGGUGAAACCCCAUCUCUACUAAAAAUAAAAAAAAAAUUAGCCAGGCGUGGUGGUGGGCACCU